rnacentral:misc_RNA from 1 species
GGGAAAUCCUUGAGAUCGAGCACAUUCACGAACUGUAAGAAUCCUGUCCUGCUCAGGAUGAAAGCACAUCCCCACCUUACCCAUCGGUUGAGGAUCUGUUAUUGAAGUUGGGAAGUUCCCUUCCCAAUCCAACCUCCCAAAAAGCCCCUUCCACUGAUUAUGCCGCUUAGCUGUGUUUGGCAGGCACCAUGGAAUCAAGUCAACCACUUGCCCAGUAGACAACUUAAUCUUUUCAUCUGGAAGGUCACGC